AUAACAUUGUAAAUCAACUAUAAUUAAAACAUUUUAAAAACAAGAUGGGUGAAAGACAUUUGAGGUUACAGAGAGUCUGCAGCAGUGAGGCCCCAAUUCCAUCGCUGGCAGUGAAAUCCCCCAAAUUAAAACCCAGCAAAUCAGCGGGUUCCUGCUGCCCAGGGGCCUGAAGACGUCCUUGUCCUUAGGCCCUGCCCACUCAGGACUUGACCAAACCAGCCAGACCUGGGAAAGGAGGGGGAGGGGAAGCGCAUGCUCCUCCGCCCUGUGACUCACUCUGGGGGAGUGGCGGAGAAGGGAUCAGACCCUGGCAUCCCUUUGGCCCAAGGCUAGGCGCUGACUCGGGCCAACAGGGAGGAGCAGACCAGGGCUCUCCCACUGCCAUGACUCACCCCCGCGCCACCGCGCAUCUGCUCUCCAGGGAGCAACGCCCAGGAGGUUUCCAGACACAUCGAGGGGGAUCCGUGUAUUUCACAGCACGCUGCCUCCCGCCCUGGCAGAGGGCAGACCCGGGGCCAGCAGAGUGUCUGCUCUAAGAAUGGAGCUUCCUUUUCCGCCCCAGCCCGCCCCGCUCUUGGCGGCAGGGUUGGGUUUUGGCCUGUUUGCUGAUGCAGAGAAGCGUGCUGGACUGGGUUGGCUGGUGGUGUCUGAGGUUGGAUGAUAAUGGCCCUGAUGAUGAAAUGAUACUUGAAAUGAUAUCUGGGCCAGCCACCGUGCUCAGCACUUUCCACUCACUAUUUCAUUUAAUUUUCACGAGCAGGUGUAAUUAUCAUUCCCAUUUUAGAGUGAGGGAAUUGAGGUGCCUGAGUAGGUGGGGUGCUUGCUUGAGGUCACCCAGAUUGGGAGUGGCGGGGGUGGGACUGGAGUCCUUGUUUUCUCAAGGAGCAGAGUCCAGACUUCCCUGACGGGCACCCUCCUGAUGUGUCCCCAGGAGGAGUCUGGCCUUGCUUUUCUCUAUCCCUGGCUCUUCUUCGCCCCCAGACCUGGCUCCCAGGCCGCCUGUGUACACCUUUCCUGUGACUCUGUCCCACCUGUGCUCCCAGGGCAGGCAGUGGGUGCUCAUGGAGGGUUUGUGAAUGAACCUGUUAUCCAAAGAACUCUGAGUUUACUAGAAUGUUCUUUCCAGGUCCCCCACUGCACCGCUUCAGAGCCAGCGAGUUUUUGGUGAAUAAAUGGAGGCACGAACAUAGGAACGAAUCAUUUCUGUGCCGGAGCCAUGAAAAUUUGGAGGCUCUGUGGUGGGAGGUGGCCCAUGGAGGGCACAACAUCAAGGGCUUCUGGGACCUUGUGCAGAGGGCAGGAUCCAGGCUCAUGCUGUGGGAGAACUAAACUGAAGAGGGCCAUCUUCAAGGACCAAGGGAACCGGAACAUGUUUCUAACUGGAACUCUGGUCUCACACCAUCUCCCUGAACAUGGACUGCGAAAGCCCAAGUAUGGCUACAAGGCUUCUUGCUACAAAAAGGGCCCUCUCCAAGGCACUUCGGUUCCUCUAAAGCCAGGAAGACCAGACUGAGCCCCAACGUAGGAGAGGGCGGCGGCAAAGGCGCGCUCUGCGCUCUGGGAAUUGCAGUCUUCAGACACUUAACACUCAGGUUGAAGCAUAUGACCUACUUUGUGGGCACACUACACUUCCCAGCGUACUUUGCGAAGACUCAGCCGGGAGCUACGCAUGCCCGAUGGUUCCGGCCCAACGGCAGUCGCCGAACCCACGUGGGGUGGCGAGAUCCAAAAGUUUCCAGACACGGUUUGCAGUUCUUUUUUCCUUGAUCACUUUUUUUGGCAAGGACAGACGGCAAUGGUAGCGUAGGGGUUUAAUGCGCUUCUCCUGACUGCAGCGGAGAAACGCUGGACUGGAGGGCAAACUCCAAGGGGACAGGAAGGGGGAGGGAGCCUGGGCCGGAGCGUCCCCAUCCCCCACACCCCGAGCGCUUUAUCCCCUGGGGCACCUCCAGGGACUACUUGCUUGUGCGUCAGCAAGUGGCAGAGCGUCACUUACACGCCCCCACCGCCUUGCCCCUCUCCAUCCCUCCCCUUUUUUUCCUCCUCCUCCACCUCCCUCUCCUCCCUUCCCCUCUCCUCUCCUCGCGAGUCGCAACCCUGCGAGAUCUGGCUCGCUGCUCCCUGGUGCUGAAGCGCUAAAAAUAUAACCAGUAUGUUAGCAACAGCCUUCCCAUUGGUCGGGGACAGGGAGCGGCGACAUCUGAUUGGAUGUUCGAUCCAACCUUUUAGGACUGGGAGGCGGGGGCGUGGAGCCAUGGAGGUCUUGGGGGAAGUGCGUUUGCGCAUUGGGGCGCUGCAAGGGAUACUGGUAUUUGUAGUUAUUUACUAGAGGCAGCCUUAGAAGUAGGUGGGUUUGAAUCCCAAUUCCGCCACCAACCGGGUUAUCUUGAUUGAAAGGCACAAAUUCUCUUUAUACCGUCAGACCUGUCCUCUCGUCCUUAAAAUGGAGAUCGAGAUCCUGUGGGGAUUAGAUAUGAUACUGUAUGUAAAGCUUGGCUCAAAUAGUUGCUGUUCUUAAUUUAAAGGUCACCGUUCUGGCCAGCUUGCAUCCUUCCCUUACUGUGCUCUUCAGUGUGUAUACCCCAAAAGGAAACCUUACAAGACAGCAUGAGAAAGUUGAGGGUGUAUCACACGGGAAGGAGGGAUGGAGUCCAUAUAAGCAGAUAAAGUGUAGCGUCUCCUUCCAUUAAGUGCAGGCUGAGGGAAGGCAGACUGAAUCCCUGGAAGGAAGGCGUUGAAUUUUUGCCCGUUCCUGCAUUUAUCUCCCCUGCAGUGCUGGAAACACACCAACGUUGGGCAAAGAAACCCAAACUGAGAAAUCCAGCCUCUUUGGCAAAGAAGAGCUCUGGGUAAAGGGUUAGUAUAUAAGUAGGAAAAAAAUAAAGUAGAGGGGAAGAAGACAAUCACCAUUCUUAAUUGCUGAUGUCUCCAUUUACCAUGUGGUAAGGAGGACAUUUUUCUCUCCCCCGUCGUAUGAUUUCAUCUUGCCAGGGCUUAAUUAUGAGCUGAAUUCCUACUCAGGCAUUCCCGGGUCCUCUCCCACUUUGAAUAAUCAUACGUUGAAAAGCACACACCUUGUUUUCAAAACGGUGAGCUUCAAAAGGAAGCAUGUCCAUGGAGAGGGUGGAGGCAACUCCCCUGUCUGAGAGUAAGCAAGUUAUGCCAGAUGUUUUGUUGUGACAAGUUAGGCUGGUCAUAAUUAGCCCCAAUUAACUCUCAGGGGGGUGAGUCACUCCUUCAUACACAUGUAGUGUGAGAGAUUUUGUAGUUUCUUUUCAGUUAUCCGAGAAAAUACUCAGUUUGAUUCUUCAGAUCCACUGCUCCAACUGGGCAGGAGCAAAGACAGCCACAACAGAAAUUGGCUUUGGAGAAAAGUGAUUGGAGGGAUGCUGAGGGCAAAUAAUUUGCUAUUUAUUGACCUGAUAUGAGUGAACUCUUAUAAAAGAGACAAGUGAACAAACCUGUCUUUAGCUAAAGCACUGAAACUACAGUGUGCAAAGAAAGCAUCGGUUUAGCCUUGAUGGUGGCAGACAGGCCACUUGUUGAUAAGGAAUUGAUUAACUGGGAAAAGAUGGGAACUGGAGUCUUUUUUUUAGGCAGGAAAAUUCCAACCAAGGCAAAGAAUCUUUCACCUUUAUGUCCUUUGUUCAAAUUGUUAAAAAGUUACAGGUCAGAAUAUAGUGACAUAGAAUCUCUUGGAAAUUUACUCAUUUCAACUUGACUUCCUGGGAAGUUAAUUUUCCUAAUUCAGAAGCUGCUGAAUGGCAGGCCAAGGUCCAUAUCUGGUGGAUGUAUUGCCUUGGCAUAUACUGACACUGUCAAAAAUUUUUUUUUGGCCACACUCAAGGCAUGCAGGGAUCAAACCGACACCAUAGCUGUGACCAGGGCCACACCGUGACAAUGCUGGAUCCUUAACCCAGUGAACC